UACGUAGGUGGCAAGCGUUGUCCGGAUUUACUGGGCGUAAAGAGCGCGCAGGCGGUCGUUCAAGUCGCGUGUGAAAGCCCCCGGCUCAACUGGGGAGGGUCACGCGAUACUGAUCGACUCGAAGGCAGGAGAGGGUAGUGGAAUUCCCGGUGUAGUGGUGAAAUGCGUAGAUAUCGGGAGGAACACCAGUGGCGAAGGCGACUACCUGGCCUGUUCUUGACGCUGAGGCGCGAAA
rnacentral:rRNA from 1 species